GGUUGUUUGGCCGAGCGGUCUAAGGCGCCUGAUUCAAGGAAAAUCAAAAUAUCUUUGACUGUAGAAAACUACAGGAACACUCAGGUAUCGUAAGAUGCAAGAGUUCGAAUCUCUUAGCAACCA
rnacentral:tRNA from 1 species